rnacentral:lncRNA from 1 species
ACUCCACAAUCCAGGCGAUUCUCGGUGAUAAUCCUGUCCAGGCGGCGUCCUUCUUCCAGAUCUUCAGCGUUUCCACACGCAUCUAGCGCAUUCACGAAGGUAAUCUCGCUCGUCUUGCAGCCGUCGAGGCACAUCAAUCGGAACAAACGCAAGGCCUGAAUGUUGUCCCCGUUCUUGGCGAAGGUGGCGAUCAUCGCAUUCCAGGACACCACGUCUCGUCGCGGAAUCUGAUCGAAGAGGCUCCUCGCGCUCUCCAAAUUUCCUGCGCGAGCAAAGGCCGUGAGCAUCGAAUUCCAAGAGGUACAGUCCUUUUCUUUCAUCGAUUGGAAGAGUUCCAUGGCUUCUUCCAGGUGCCCAUUCUGGGAAUAUGCUGCCAGCAGGAUGUUCCACGAGUAGACAUUCCGGGAAGGGAUGGCAUCGAAGAUUCUCCUG